CUCAAGAGCGGGAGCCACGACUCCAUGUGCCCAAACAUGGGGAUGGGCAGCCGCUGGGCCCCUCUGUCUCGCGAAGUUUCUCAGGACCCUGGGCUUUGCCACGGUCUCAGUCCUUCUCAACGUCUCCCUCCCUUAAUGCGCCUUCUUUCUUUUUCGUGCCCUUCAAGAAUUAGAGUGGUCCUUUAAUUCUUUUUAUUUCCUCUCUUUUAGAUUUCCUUCUUUUGUGUCCAUCCUUCCUGCUUUCCUUCUUCCUCUUCCUCUUUUCAAAAUUGCAUUACUGUCAUACCUGGUUUCCUUGCAGUUCUUGGGUGGAGUUCGAGGACCCUCCCUGGUGGAAGGCGUUUGUGUUCUCCCAAAAGAGGAGCCCUUCAGACGGAGGCUUCAGAGCUCAGCGUGGCGCCGACGGGACCACCUUUCCCUUCUCACCUUUUUUCCUCUCCACCUUCCAGGAAACCACUAUCUAUCCAUCUAUCCAUCUAUCAUCUGUAUACGAGGAGAAGGAGGAGGAGGAGGAAAAUCAGGAAUCCACGCAAAGUUUUCCAAGCUCCCUGAAGUGUGUGUUUCCUGUGUGCCCAAAUCAAGGCCAGGCACAAAUAGGCGCUCAGUGAAUCUUCAUUGAAUAAAAAACCCGAUAACUUUGUUGAGGUGCUGAAUCAAGCAACCCUGAGAUGACUUCCCCCUCUGGACUUCUUGUUAGUGGCCUCAGUAUCCACCCAUUUGCUCAUGACAGAAACCUGGGAGUCACUCUUGAUUUAUCCUUCAUCUUUAGCAAUCAGGUGCUGCCGUUCUAGCUCUGAAGUACCCUGACAUCAUCCCCCCUCCCUCCAUCACUGUCACUGCCCUCUGUCGGGAUUAUGAAAACAGUGUACUAGUUAAUCUCUGCAUCUUCUAGUUGUUCUCCUUACCUCCAGCCUUGACUCAUACUCCCCCCACCCCAUCUAUUUUCCGCUCCACAGGCAGUAAUCUUUCUAGAACAUGUAAUUGGCUCCCAGAAGCAUUCAGGAUAAAGGCUAACUUCUUAGAUGGCUCACUCACACCCCUUCCUGACAUGGCUGCACUUAACUGUCUGGCCUCUUCUCAACAGAGAACAGCCAGUAUUCCAGACUCCAGGCAUCCUGAGCUGCUUUCAGGUCCCUGAAUGGGCUCUUCCCUCUGCCUGGAAUACAUUUCCUGAUUCGCGCAAAGUGAAAUUUUAUUCAUUUUUGAAUAAGAGUUCUUGGUUCAGGCUUUCUCUAGGAAGAUGGUCCUGACCACCACCACCCCUUUCCCCACUCUCCCACUACCUGGGAGAGAGAUAUUUCCUAUGUGCCAUUCAACACCUGUACUAUUACUGCCAUUGAAAGAAUUAUUAUAUAAUUGCCCAUUUACUUUCUAUUUUUUUGUUUUUUGAGAUGGAGUCUUGCUCUGUUACCAAGGCUGGAGUGCAAUGGCAUGAUCUCGGCUCACUGCAACCUCCGCCUCCCAGGUUCAAGCAAUUCUCCUGCCUCAGCCUCCUCAGUAGCUGGGAUUACAGGCACCCACCUCCACGCCUGGCUAACUUUUGUAUUUUUAGUAGAGAUGGCGUUUCACCAUGUUGGUUUGGCAGGUCUCGAACUCCUGACCUCAAGUGGUCCAUCCACCUCAGCCUCCCAAAUUGCUAGGAUUACAGGUGUGAGCCACCACGCCCAGCCCCAUCUACUUUCUUUAUAUUCUUAUGAAACUUUAAGCUUAAUUAAGGCACAUUCCACCCUAUCUCGGUCAAAGUUCUAUGAUCAGUGCCACCUUCAAAUCUGGUGAAUCCAUACAUGUUGGAUGAAUGAGUGCACACUAGCCCCAUGCAAAAAGGUAGAUAAUUCAUUUUGUCAUCCACUUCUUACAUGCCCACUUAAAAAUGCAGUAAUAACAUAGGGAGUUGUAAUAUACAGUAUACCGUAGCACAGUUAAAGACCUGACCUUUUUUUUCCUAAUUACCACAUAUCAACUAGUUUACAUACUAUCAUCUCCUUGUAUAAAGUCACAACUCCUGGUGCUGAAGUCUCUUCCAUAUUUUUAUGGUUUGGGAGUAUGUUAUAAUUACACUGCCUGCUUCCUGCUGUGUGAUAAUCUUUGAAACUUUUAAAGACUUUUCUCAUCUUGGUGUACCUAAUACCACUCUAGGACCCAUGAGGCAAGCAUAGAGUUCAUACCUUGUGAGUGUCAUUUAUCUGAAAAGGCAGUAAUAGAUCCUUGAGCCUUUGAAUCAGAAUACAAGCUAAAUACUAAAUGUGCUGAAGCAGUGUAAGACUGGAUGUUGCUGGGUACUGAGGAAGGCCGGAAGGACUAGGAUGGAGCGUCAAGGAAGGCCUUGGGGGCAAGAGGAAGAAGACGUUGACAGGUGUGCUCGGUGCAGGGGCUGAUGGAAGAGCUUUGUGUGGAAGGAUCCUGUGAGCAAAGAGCCCCGGGAGCCCGCGGAGGGGGUAGAAGAGAACGUGAGCUAUUGCCAGAGCCAGCUUCAGUCCUCAGAUUUGCAGGGCCGGCUCCAACAGGGUGCACAUCAGUCCUUUGAGUAGGCACAAAGUUUGGAAUCCAUUUCAGCCUCCUUAUGGAGAUCCUGCUGCACUCAGAAUGUUGUUCUGGGUUGGGCACAUCAGUAGCUGAGAGACUCCUCUGACCAUGGCCAGCCUCAGGAAGUGAGUGUCAACAGCCUUGCAGAUGGGAACUCAACUCCUGAGUACCCAUGCCUGAAAAGACGUAAGUCCUGCUCCCACCGGCACCAGACCCCCUGCCCUCUCUCUACCCCAAUACUAGAACUCCAGACCUCACCCCUCCUCCCCAGAGACAUAUCAACAGGAAGUUAAGUCAGCUGGAACACUUUGUUCCCUUGACAUUUCUGUUUUAAUUCUGCAGCUGUGUUUAAGGCUUCAUGAAUUAUCUGUCUGGCAUGGUCUGUUUGUCUGCCUAGUGCCUCUUCUCCCACUUCCCUGCACCAGGUCAUGAUUACCCUAAGACUGGUAGAGCAAAACUAGAACUAGGGUUGGUAAGAAGGAAGUGGGAUGGUAAGAAAGGGCAUUAGAGACUGUAAUAUUAGCUGUUGAUGAGCUAAGGAUGAUGAUCUGAUUGCUUGCUCAGGGAGGAGGAAUUCCUAAAUCAUUAACAGUGUGCAUUGCCCAUAGCUCUCUUUCCUCACCCCCUCAUGGUAUUUAUCUCUACGUCACAUCAUAGUGAUGAAUGGGUGUGUCUUUUCUCCUCAGUAUUCUAUAGUGCCUACUUACGUGCCUUAUUCAUGCUUAUUCAUGUUCAGGAAGCAGUUGGUAAUUGAAGGAAUGAGCCUUCUCUCCUUCCUUUUAUCUCAAGUCAGCUUAUCACUUAAAAACAAAAACAAAAACAAGCCAUAGCUUCCAAAUUCAACUUGGUCCUGCUCAGGGUGGUAUUUCUUAAUUUCUUGUAGCUGCAAUUCACAGUUCUGUAUCCUUGCUUGCCAAUGUCUGUUUUAGUAUUCAUGGCAGUUGACUCUGAGACAUAUCAGAGCACUAUAUUGUUCUUUCCUGGUUGCUUUUUCUUCUGCCUCUCAUCAAAGUCUAGAGAGAAACUUAGAGGCCUUCAGUUUCUAAAGCCACUAAGAACCUAGAAGGAAAAUGGUGAUUAGUCUCUCCAAGUUCUUCUUCCUCAUCCAGACCCACGAAGAGUGUUCUCCAUUCACUGGUCAAUCAGGCUCACGUGUGAAACGUCAAGGUUGGCUUUAAAGGACCACCCGGGCAAAUGACUUAUCGUUAGUUACAUGAGCUGGAUAUGUUUUGUCAACCACCCCGCUUGAAACCUAAGCAUGAGAGAACGUAGCUCACAAGACAGGUAUGGACCUAUAUGUCUCAAUAAGCCCACAUCUAGAAAAUACAUAUGCAGAUUUUUCUGUUGCCAGUUGGUCAUCCUGGGCUAUCAUUUCUAAUGUGUGACUAGUUUCAACCAAAUUUAAUAUUUUAAAACCAGUCUCAAAGCCCUAUAUUUUAAAAAGUAAAACUAUAAGUGGGCCGGGCAUGGUGGAUCACGCCUGUAAUCCCAGCACUUUGGGAGGCUGAGGAGGGUGGAUCACAAGAUCAGGAGUUCAAGACCAGCCUGAUUAAUAUUGUGAAACCCUGUCUCUACUAAAAAUACAAAA